rnacentral:rRNA from 1 species
UACGUAGGGUGCGAGCGUUGUCCGGAAUUACCGGGCGUAAAGAGCUCGUAGGUGGUUUGUCGCGUUGUUCGUGAAAACUCACAGCUUAACUGUGGGCGUGCGGGCGAUACGGGCAGACUGGAGUACUGCAGGGGAGACUGGAAUUCCUGGUGUAGCGGUGGAAUGCGCAGAUAUCAGGAGGAACACCGGUGGCGAAGGCGGGUCUCUGGACCGAUACUGACGCUGAGGAGCGAAAGCGUGGGGAGCGAACAGG